GCUGGGUGUGGUGGCGCGCGCCUGUAAUCCCAGCUACUCGGAGGCUGAAGCAGGAGAAUCGCUUGAACCUGGGAGGCGGAGGUUUCAGUGAGCCGAGAUUGCACCACUGCACUCCAGCCUGGGCCAGAGCAANNNNNNNNNNAGGCGGAGCUUGCAGUGAGCUGAGAUCUGGCCACUGCACUCCCGCCUGGGCAACAGAGCGAGACUCUGCCUCAA
rnacentral:SRP_RNA from 1 species